rnacentral:misc_RNA from 1 species
AGUUGACACUACUACACUACUCUGGUGGAAUGGAGUCGACAAGCAAAAGUUUUGAUAAAAAUAGAUCCGAUUAACCAUCUUAAUAAGGCUUUUAGUUCAGUAUCCCUAUCCAGUCUUUCAAGUAUUAUUUAUAAAUGCAGAAGGAAAAAAUAAAUUAAAAGAAGAGUAAUUGCUGGACAUCUUAACAAUCUAAGAUAUGAAGCAUACCAACAUAAAUUUAGAAAAAGAAAACAAUUGAUUAUCUGACACAUUUCAUUAUGUCCUAACAUAAAAGAAACAUCACAACAAAAAUAAUGCUUCCAGUUCAUCAUAUAUCAUAAGGUGACAAACAAACUAUGAAAAAAAAUAGGUUGAAAUCCACUCUCAGACUAUAGCAUUGGCAGCACUGGCAAUUCUUGGCCACAAAUCAGCA